rnacentral:rRNA from 1 species
GAGCGGUAUUGUUUCUUCGGAAACGAGAGAGCGGCGCACGGGUGCGGAACACGUGUGCAACCUGCCUUUAUCUGGGGGAUAGCCUUUCGAAAGGAAGAUUAAUACCCCAUAAUAUUUUGAAUGGCAUCAUUUAAAAUUGAAAACUCCGGUGGAUAGAGAUGGGCACGCGCAAGAUUAGAUAGUUGGUAGGGUAACGGCCUACCAAGUCAGUGAUCUUUAGAGGGCCUGAGAGGGUGAUCCCCCACACUGGUACUGAGACACGGACCAGACUCCUACGGGAGGCAGCAGUGAGGAAUAUUGGACAAUGGGUGAGAGCCUGAUCCAGCCAUCCCGCGUGAAGGACGACGGCCCUAUGGGUUGUAAACUUCUUUUGUACAGGGAUAAACCUUUCCACGUGUGGAAAGCUGAAGGUACUGUACGAAUAAGCACCGGCUAACUCCGUG